UACGAAGGGGGCUAGCGUUGCUCGGAAUCACUGGGCGUAAAGCGCACGGUAGGCGGACUCUUAAGUCGGUGGUGAAAUCCUGGAGCUCAACUCCAGAACUGCCUUCGAUACUGAGAGUCUCGAGUCCGGGAGAGGUGAGUGGAACUGCGAAGUGUAGAGGUGAAAUUCGUAGAUAUCGCAAGAACACCAGUGGCGAAGGCGGACUCACUGGCCCG
rnacentral:rRNA from 1 species